ACGCGACGGGUUCUGGUCCAAAAACCGCCUAAGUGCUCCGAUAACACCCAGGGACUCGCCUAUUUUUACAGCGCGUUUCUACUUCCAAGGUCUCGGCGUAAUCAUCUUAAUGAGCGUUACUGCUUGCAGGGCACAGUGGCUCACGCCUGUAAUCCCAGCACUUUGGAAGGCCAACGCAGGAGGAUCGCUUGAGCCCAGGAGUUUGAGACCAGCUUGCGCAGCUCCCACUUAUGAGUGAGAACAUAAGCUGUUUGGUGUUUCCAUUCCUGAGUUACUUCACUUAGAAUAAUAGUCUCCAAUUCCAUCCAGGUUGCAGAAAUAAGAUAUGUGGAACGGAGUUAUGUAUCAAAACCCACUUUGAAGGAAGUGGUCAUAGUAAGUGCUACAAGAACACCCAUUGGAUCUUUUUUAGGCAGCCUUUCCUUGCUGCCAGCCACUAAGCUUGGUUCCAUUGCAAUUCAGGGAGCCAUUGAAAAGGCAGGGAUUCCAAAAGAAGAAGUGAAAGAAGCAUACAUGGGUAAUGUUCUACAAGGAGGUGAAGGACAAGCUCCUACAAGGCAGGCAGUAUUGGGUGCAGGCUUACCUAUUUCUACUCCAUGUACCACCAUAAACAAAGUUUGUGCUUCAGGAAUGAAAGCCAUCAUGAUGGCCUCUCAAAGUCUUAUGUGUGGACAUCAGGAUGUGAUGGUGGCAGGUGGGAUGGAGAGCAUGUCCAAUGUUCCAUAUGUAAUGAACAGAGGAUCAACACCAUAUGGUGGGGUAAAGCUUGAAGAUUUGAUUGUAAAAGACGGGCUAACUGAUGUCUACAAUAAAAUUCAUAUGGUAAAUGUGAUUUUUAGUGGAUAAAUGCUAUCUAAUGUCCAAUACUGUUUGAUUUUUCUUACUCUAUGUACUUUACAAACUGAACUGAAAGAUGGGCUCUAUAAAUGUUGAUUUUAGCCGUGU
rnacentral:lncRNA from 1 species